rnacentral:lncRNA from 1 species
GGUUAACAAGAAAGGGUUUAGUAACAACUUAUAAGAAAGUAUUUAUGUUGUCAUUAUGACGAUUAGAUUUUCUAGCAUUAUAAACUUCAUUUUUUCUUUCUUUCUUCAAAUUGAGAUAAUUACUCUACUAGCCUUUUAUUUGUCUUGAAAGACCAAUAAUAAUAUUGUUGAAGUCAAUGUCAUCUGGAAUAUCUUUGCAUCAAUAAGUCACAAAAAGAUGGAAAAAUUUUCAAUGACUUAAAUAAUUUGAUAUUUGUCAUUCUAUCAAUAUUCCAUUUGAUAAUAUCAUCUCCAGUAUAAGAGACUUGUCUCUUUUUCUUUUGCGCAUAUUGCAUGCCAAGAAAAGAAGGCUUGGAAUAGUGAUUUAGAAUUUUUGAAUAAUUUUGAUUUUAAAUUUUAUUUAUGUGAAAAGUUUCUUCUUCAAAUUGCUUUUUAGUUCUUCAAUUGAGUAGACCAUGUUUACAUUUUUUGGCGCAUUUAACUUUGAAAGUUGUUUUGACAUUUUUGCCAAAAUACUCUGUUAACAAAUUUUGAUUUCCCAAUUUAGGUUUUGAAAUGGUUUCAUCGAAAGGUUCAAAUAAUGGAUAACUUAUCCUUUCUUUUGUUAGAGUUGUUGGUUCUUUUACUUCUUUCUAGGAACUUUCAGAUUCAAAGUUUGACUCAAUUCUUUUUUGUUGAGAUAUCAUUGAGUAUAUAAUUAUAUAGAGCUUGUAUAUUUUUGUAUCUUUAAUUGAGGCAUAAUUGUAAUGGGUUUCUCUUGAAAACGAUGAUCAUACCUUCCAUUCUGUACCAUCCAACUCCAUAUACUCAUAUCUCUCAAAUUUCGGGAUCAAUGUAUUCAACUGGAGCUUUUGGAUACACGGCUUCACUUUUUACACCUGAAAAAUGGGAAAAGAAUUUAAAGCCCAUUCCUCUUCCUGAUACAAAGAA